GCAAAGGUAGCAUAAUCAUUCGCCCUUUAAUUGUGGGCUAGUAUGAACGGAUAAACAAGAAUUUUUCUGUCUCAUAAAUACCAAUAAAAUCUAUUAUUCAGGCGAAUAAACCUGAAUAAAACUACAGGACAAGAAGACCCUAUCGAGCUUUAUUAAAUAAUAAAUAAAAAACUAUAAUAUAAAUAUAUCCAUUAAAAUUAAUUUGGUUGGGGCGACACAGGAAUAAAUAAAACUUCCUCAAUAAAAAAGAUUUAUCUAUCUAUUAAUUGACCCAUUUUCAUGCUUACAAAAUAAGCUACCGUAGGGAUAACAGGCUAAUUUUUCUCACGAGCUCAAAUCUACAGAAAAGAUUGGCAC
rnacentral:rRNA from 1 species